UACGGAGAGUGCAAGCGUUAAUCGGAAUUAUUGGGCGUAAAGGGCGCGUAGGCGGGAGACUAAGUCAGAUGUGAAAUUCCAAAGCUCAACUUUGGAGCUGCAUUUGAAACUAUAAUUCUAGAGGAUUGACGGGGAAAACGAAAUUCCACGUGUAGCGGUGAAAUGCGUAGAUAUGUGGAAGAACACCUGUGGCGAAAGCGGUUUUCUAGUUAAUACCUGACGCUGAGGCGCGAGAGCAAGGGGAGCAAACAGG
rnacentral:rRNA from 1 species